rnacentral:rRNA from 1 species
CUAACUACGUGCCAGCAGCCGCGGUAAUACGUAGGGGGCUAGCGUUAUCCGGAUUUACUGGGCGUAAAGGGUGCGUAGGCGGUCUUUCAAGUCAGGGGUGAAAGGCUACGGCUCAACCGUAGUAAGCCCUUGAAACUGGGAGACUUGAGUGCAGGAGAGGAGAGUGGAAUUCCUAGUGUAGCGGUGAAAUGCGUAGAUAUUAGGAGGAACACCAGUUGCGAAGG